rnacentral:rRNA from 1 species
AUGGGAAAUCCUUCUCAUGUUGAAAAGCCAAGCAUGCAUCCUUCUGUUGUUUUGGCCAGUCCCCUUGAUGGUACCACCCAGUCUUCAGAUUCAGAUGACUGCUACAUAACGCCAGGAAAGAUACCUGCAGUAAAAUAUUCUGCUGAUGAAUUUUCAGAAUAUAGUCCAUCUGAAUCUGAUUCUGUGGAGUUGGACAAUGUUCAUGUGCUUUCAAAGGAUUAUGUCUUAUCAAGACGAUGCCAUCUCACAGGAGAACAAAUGGAAGAAAUUGAAGCGUUCGUCUCAAAAAUUCAAUCUGAACCCGGUGCUUGUGGUAAAGAUGAACAAGACCAAUGUGUCCGACUACCCUGA